AUCUGUGCAGUCUCGAGACAAGUGGACAUACAAUAAUUAUACAAAUAUGAAGUUGUGCCUCUUUGCCAUUGUUAUGCUUAUGGCAGUAGUGUCAGUCGUUCUCGCUGCUCCAGAAUUCCUAGGAUGGCAAGCGGGGUGUCCACCUGGACGCGUUAGGGUUGGAAAUGAAUGUUAUAUGUUACACAAGAAAAUAGCAGAUUCGACAAAAUAUUAUGAUAAUCAUCAAGUUUAGGCCAUUCACGACACACAAACAAAUCAAUUAAUUUAUGACUCGUGAUACAUUAAAUAUAUAAUAUCGUCAAAAACAUUUUGUAAAAAAACCUAAAUCUCGCACCUCAGUUUUCCUACUGUAAAAAGUAGUGAGAUCAAUGUAAUACCAAGUGAGUUAUUUCAUUACUCUCUCUUUAAGACACUUCUGUCUUAAGUUAUUAUCAUAUCGAUAUUACAUUUAUUUUACUUUUUAAUAAAAUAAAUCGACUUGGCCAUCGCGAAACGGUCCUAACAACCCCUAAAUUCCUAACCCCCAAAAGGCCGGCAACGCACUUAUAACGCCUGUGGUGUUUCGGGUGUCCAUUACCUAAUUAUUAUAGUUUUAUAUAAGUAAUAUAUUUUUGAAUAAAUGUGUCAUUAAUUAAA